GAUGAACGCUGGCGGCGUGGAUAAGGCAUGCAAGUCGAACGGUCCUGCACUUUCGCAAGAAAGAGUGGGAUAGUGGCAAACGGGUUAGUAACACGUGGGUGACAGACCCCCGCCACGGCCAUAGCCUUUUGAAAGAAAGGGUAAUAGCCGAUGGUCCGAGCACAUAAAUUAUGUGCUCGGUAAAGGUCAUCUGUAAAGAUGACCGGGCAGGGAAUGGCCCGCGGCCUAUCAGCUAGUUGGUGAGGUAAUGGCUCACCAAGGCAAUGACGGGUAGGCGGUGUGAGAGCAUGAUCGCCAACAAUGGGACUGAGAUACGGCCCAUACUCCUACGGGAGGCAGCAGUCGAGAAUAUUGGUCAAUGGAGGAAACUCUGAACCAGCGACGCCGCGUGCUUGAAGAAGCCCUUCGGGGUGUAAAGAGCUUUUAUCCGUGAACAAUCCCGCUUGCGGGAUGAGUGUAACGGAUGAAUAAGGGGGUGCUAAUCACGUGCCAGCAGCCGCGGUAAUACGUGACCCCCAAGCGUUAUCCGGAUUUAUUGGGCGUAAAGAGUCUGUAGGCGGUCUGGAAAGUCUUUGGUUAAAGACCCAGGGCUUAACCUUGGGAAUGCCAGAGAUACUGCCGGACUAGAGGGCGUUAGAGGCUGGAGGAACGGUCGGUGUAGGGGUGAAAUCCGUUGAUAUCGACCGGAACCCUAAAAGCGAAGGCAUCCAGCUGGGGCGACCCUGACGCUGAGAGACGAAAGCGUGGGGAGCAAAAAGGAUUAGAUACCCUUGUAGUCCACGCUGUAAACGAUGGACACUGGCUAUCUGAAGUGUCGACCCUUCAGGUGGCGAAGCUAACGCGUUAAGUGUCCCGCCUGGGAAGUACGGCGGCAACGCUAAAACUCAAAGGAAUAGACGGGGAUUCACACAAGCGGUGGACCAUGUGGCUCAAUUCGACAACAAACGAGGAACCUUACCAGGGCUUGACAGACUAGUGAAACCCUGACGAAAGUCAGGUCUACCCACAAGGACACUAGUUCAGGUGCUGCAUGGUUGUCGUCAGCAUGUACUUUGAAGCGCACGCUUAAAUGCGGUAACAUGCGCAACCCCUAUUGCUUGUUUUAUUUGUCAAGCGAGACUGCCUGGGAUGACCAGGAGGAAGGUGGGGAUGACGCCAAAUCAGCAUGGCCCUUUGAUGCCCUGGGCUGCACACGUGGUACAAUGGGGCCGACAAUGGGUCGCGAAAGGGUAACCUGGAGCUAAUCCCAUCAAACGGCCUCCCAGUUCGGAUUGAGGUCUGCAACUUGACCUCAUGAAGCCGGAAUCGCUAGUAAUCGCAUAUCAGCCAUGGUGCGAUGAAUAUGUUCCUGAAUCUUGUACUCACCGCCCGUCACAUUAGGGAAGCCGGCAGUAGCCGAA
rnacentral:rRNA from 1 species